rnacentral:rRNA from 1 species
UACGAAGGGGGCUAGCGUUGCUCGGAAUCACUGGGCGUAAAGGGCGCGUAGGUGGCGGGACAAGCGUGCGGUGAAAGCCUGGGGCUCAACCCCGGGUCGGCCGUGCGAACUGUUUUGCUUGAGCACUGUAGAGGCAGGCGGAAUUCCGGGUGUAGCGGUGGAAUGCGUAGAGAUCCGGAAGAACACCGGUGGCGAAGGCGGCCUGCUGGGCAGUAGCUGACACUGAGGCGCGACAGCGUGGGGAGCAAACAGG